rnacentral:rRNA from 1 species
AUUGAACGCUGGCGGCAGGCUUAACACAUGCAAGUCGAGCGGGGGAAGUUGCUUCGGUAAUUGACCUAGCGGCGGACGGGUGCGUAAUACUUAGGAAUCUGCCUAUUAAUGGGGGAGAACAUCUCGAAAGGGAAGCUAAUACCGCAUCGGACCUACGGGGGAAAGCAGGGGAUCACUUGUGACUUUGCGCUAGUGAAUGAGCAGAAGUCGGAUUAGCUAGUUGGUGGGGGAAAGGCCUACCAAGGCGACGAUCUGUAGCGGGUCUGAGAGGAUGAUCCGCCACACUGGGACUGAGACACGGCCCAGACUCCUACGGGAGGCAGCAGUGGGGAAUAUUGGACAAUGGGGGGAACCCUGAUCCAGCCAUGCCGCGUGGGGGAAGAAGGCCCUCGGGUUGUAAACCCCUUUCAGGGGGAACGAAGGUAAGGCCGGUGAACAGCCGGUCGGACUGACGGUACCCCCAGAAGAAGCUCCGGCUAACUACGUGCCAGCAGCCGCGGUAAUAC